ACGCACUUUAACAUAAGAUCUAAGGAAGGAAGAGGACUGAGGUAAGGUGAAGUGAUUUUUUUUGAGUUGGUAAUGGUACAAAAGUUAUACUAGACCGUGGGUACCUAAUCUCGGAGAUUACCAUUUAGAUUUGGUUCUUGAUCAUUUGUAUAGUGAUGCAUUUAAAAAAUUAUUUGAGCAAAACAGUGAAUGCCAUUGGGUCUGAGAGAUCCAAAACCAAAUAACCUAAAGUAUAUAGAUGGUUCCUUUAGCU
rnacentral:lncRNA from 1 species